rnacentral:lncRNA from 1 species
GGCCAAACCUUAACUGUACACACACAGGCAGUGGUGGAGAGAAGCAGGAAGCUUUAUUAGGUCACCCACAUCAAGUAAACAGCCCGGAUCAACUCAGGGACGUAACCAUAGAUAAAGUUGCUGUUAUUUUGUAAGGGGGUCAAUUCAAAGUCAUAGAAUCAUAUUUGUAUUGACUCCACAAAAUUACUGCACAUGACUGGCUCUGCACCAUUUAUUUCUUCCACUUAAAUAGUAGCACUGAAAUUUCCUCUCUACUGCGAUCCAGAAAAAUGAGAAAGCACUGCGUGCACCCCGCCAGGCACCCAGGAGCACUCCUAAUCCGGCAAGGGCAGAAAGAGAGCCGGACACCAUGGGAUCAGGAUGUUUUGAGUUAAAUUAAGGGAUGAGAUUCAUGGGAAAACUGAGUAGAAAUGUGUUUAUGUUUUUUAAAUCUGAAUCUUUAAAAAGAAUAAAUUAAGAAUCGCAAAAUCAGUAUCAGAUGUUGUACGAUGACUUCAACACAGCAAAUAACAUCUGAAAACAAAAUAUUUUGAAAUCUAGUUCCUUCUUUGCUCAUCUGCCGCUGUUGUGGUUCAUAGGGGUCAGGGCUUCCACUGAGAUGGUUCCCAACAACCAAAAGCGACACGGGAAAGUGCUGUGGUCCUACUAGCGUUCUCAGCAGUAACGAGGAAACUGCAAACUCCUCAGGUUCAUUCGCAGGAAGAGGAGAAGUAUCUGUUUUAGCAUCAGAAUUACUUAUGGAAU